CACACACAGGACCAUUAACUCCCAAUUGCUCCCAGCUAAAUCCUGGCCUGGGAGAACCUUCCGACGCUGAUAGCCCGAGCUGAAACGUGCUUUGUUCAGCCUGAUCAAAGGGAAAAUCAAAGGCUGGCAGCCAAAUGAAACCUUUGGAGACACAUGAAGUACAUAUUAAGAGUCUCAUUGCCCAAUAAAUUAAAGGAAAUAAGUCAUCAGAAAUGUGAGGAAAGAUGUUCCAGAGCAGGUAAUUCACAAAGCAAAGUCUUCAG